rnacentral:misc_RNA from 1 species
GAAAUGCGAUAAGUAGUGUGAAUUGCAGAAUUCAGUGAAUCAUCGAAUCUUUGAACGCACAUUGCGCCCAUUGGUAUUCCUUUGGGCAUGCCUGUUCGAGCGUCAUUUAAACCUUCAAGCUCAGCUUGGUGUUGGGUGACUGUCCGACUGCCCCUCGGGGCGCGGACUCGCCUCAAAAUUAUUGGCGGCCGGUACAUUGGCUUCGAGCGCAGCAGAAACGCGAACUCGGGGUUGUUGUAUUGGCUCCCAGAAGCUAUCUUCACAAUUUUGACCUCGGAUCAGGUAGGGAUACCCGCUGAACUUAA